rnacentral:siRNA from 1 species
AAGGUCGUCUACUCGAUACCUUGA